CGCCCGGGGACCAAGCGGCAGCACGCCAUCCACAUCAUCGACUUCGGGCUGGCCAAGGAGUACAUCGACCCCGAGACCAAGAAGCACAUCCCGUACCGCGAGCACAAGAGCCUGACGGGCACGGCGCGCUACAUGAGCAUCAACACGCACCUGGGCAAGGGUGAGCUGCGCGCGCGCGGCGGGGGGCGGGCGCCCGGACCCCGCUGAGGCUGCGCCCCUGUCCCCGCAGAGCAGAGCCGCCGCGACGACCUGGAGGCGCUGGGCCACAUGUUCAUGUACUUCCUGCGCGGCAGCCUCCCCUGGCAGGGGCUCAAGGUGGGCGAGGAGACCGGGCAGGCGGGCGGGGACGCAGGGCGGGAGCAAGGCUGACCACAGACCCCCGCAGGCCGACACGCUCAAGGAGCGGUACCAGAAGAUCGGGGACACCAAACGCGCCACGCCCAUCGAGGUGCUCUGCGAGAACUUCCCAGGUAAGGGGUCCCUGCGUCCCCGCCCCCGCCCCGUGCCCCCCACCCCCGCCGAGGCCCCGCUGGCGCUCUCUCUGCAGAGGAGAUGGCCACGUACCUGCGCUAUGUGCGGCGCCUGGACUUCUUCGAGAAGCCCGACUAUGACUACCUGCGGAAGCUCUUCACCGACCUCUUCGACCGCAGUGGCUUCGUGUUCGACUAUGAGUACGACUGGGCCGGGAAGCCCCUGCCGACCCCCAUCGGCACCGUCCACACCGACCUGCCCUCCCAGCCUCAGCUCCGGGACAAAGCCCAGCCGCACAGCAAAAACCAGGUGAAGCCCGGGCGGGACCGACGCCCCAGGGAGGGGCACGGGCGGCCAGCGUGACCCCCUACUGUCCCCACCAGGCGCUGAACUCCACCAACGGGGAGCUGAACGCGGAUGACCCCACGGCCGGCCACUCCAACGCCCCCAUCACAGCGCCUGCAGAGGUGGAGGUGGCCGAUGAAACCAACUGCCCCCGUUAGCGU
rnacentral:sRNA from 1 species